rnacentral:lncRNA from 1 species
CGGCCAGGUAGGCCAGGCGCGGGCCUCCCCGCACGCCGGGCGGCAGCCGCCCCGUGCCGUAGCCGUGCCAGGCCACCACGUACGGGUUGUCCAUGGUCAGCCAGUAGCGCACCUGCCCGCCGAAGUGCCGGAAGCACAGCUCGGCGUAGUCGCGGAAGAGCCCGGGCAGGACGGGGCUGGCCCAGCCGCCGAAGGCGUGCUGCAGGGCCUGCGGCAGGUCCCAGUGGUAGAGGGUGACCACGGGCUCGACGCCCAGCUCCCGCAGGCGGGCCAGCAGCCGCCCGUAGUGCGCCAGCCCGGCGGGGUUGGGCGGCGCCGUCCCGUUGGGCAGCAGCCGGGCCCAGGACAGCGAGAAGCGUGUUUCCGUAGUGGUACUUUAGCAAGACACAUCGCACCUGCGAUCUCUCAUGUAGCAGCAAUUGCAGAGAAUUCGUUGUCCAAGGACAUCAGACACACUCCUCCCCGGGAAUUCAUGGGCUGUCACCUCUCAGUAACAACUCUUUUCUUUCCUGGAGUAGGAGAACAAUUCAACCAUCGGGGAGAGCUGCCGGCGGCGGCGGGAGCCAGGGCACAGCCAGAAACAGCCCAGCACAUUGCAGGACCUGGUAUUCAGUGAUGUGAACUCUUAACACGAUUUGGGACACCUACGAAUAAAAAACGUCUACUUGACA